rfam:Rhizophagus irregularis DAOM 181602 strain DAOM 197198 GLOINscaffold_15528_Cont15484, whole genome shotgun sequence.
AUACUUACCUGGCGCGGCAUCUCUGUUAUCAAUGAAGGCAAAGAUGCGGGUGGUGGCUGCUGGCAUUGCACUGCGCCAGAGGCUAUUGCUCCGAACACUCAUAAAAGUGUCUCGAGCGCACAAUUUAUGAUUGUUGGGUGAUCAUGGUUCGCCGGGAUUACCCUU